rnacentral:rRNA from 1 species
CCUACGGGAGGCAGCAGUGGGGGAUAUUGCACAAUGGGGGGAACCCUGAUGCAGCGACGCCGCGUGGGUGAAGAAGCGCCUCGGCGCGUAAAGCCCUGUCAGCAGGGAAGAAAAUGACGGUACCUGAAGAAGAAGCCCCGGCUAACUACGUGCCAGCAGCCGCGGUAAUACGUAGGGGGCAAGCGUUAUCCGGAUUUACUGGGUGUAAAGGGGGCGCAGACGGCGAUGCAAGCCAGGAGUGAAAGCCCGGGGCCCAACCCCGGGACUGCUCUUGGGACUGCGUGGCUGGAGUGCAGUAGGGGCAGGCGGAAUUCCUGGUGUAGCGGUGGAAUGCGUAGAUAUCAGGAGGAACACCGGUGGCGAAGGCGGCCUGCUGGACUGCAACUGACGUUGAGGCCCGAAAGCGUGGGGAGCAAACAGGAUUAGAUACCCUUGUAGUC